GCCGAGGUAGCUCAACGGCAGAGCACUCCCUUCGUAAGGGAGGGGUUGCGGGUUCAAAUCCCGCCCUCGGCUCCA
rnacentral:tRNA from 1 species